UUCAGUGUAUAUGGACCGGAGGCAGAAAAAAGAGAGUGGGGGAAGGUUACACACUCUUCCCCCACUCUCUUUUUUCUGCCUCCGGUCCAUAUACACUG